rnacentral:ribozyme from 1 species
GGCCCAGCAACUCCUAUCCCUACCUCCACGCGGUACCGGCCGGAAACUAUGAGCAACCUUAGGGAAGGUCGUAGGCUGACAGGGAAGG